rnacentral:rRNA from 1 species
UACGGAGGGUGCGAGCGUUUGUCCGGAAUCACUGGGCGUAAAGGGCGCGUAGGCGGCGCGGAUAGUCGGCGGUGAAAGCCCGGAGCUCAACUCCGGGUCGGCCGUCGAUACUUCCGGGCUUGAGCACUGUAGAGGCAGAUGGAAUUCCGGGUGUAGCGGUGGAAUGCGUAGAGAUCCGGAAGAACACCGGGUGGCGAAGGCGGUCUGCUGGGGCAGUUGCUGACGCUGAU